rnacentral:lncRNA from 1 species
GUACGUGAAUACAAGGUCCCCCUCAUGUCACAAAGUGCGGUGAGAAACCCCUGCUCCUGGCGGCCCUGGUGGGGGUGCCGGGCGGGUGAGUAAUGGAUCUGCCAACCGCAAAUGAGGCUUCCUCUGACUCAUGCACACAUGAAGCUGCUUUAUCUCCUUCGCCCCACCCGUGCUCUCCCAUCCUCUCCUGCAGAGGAGGCGGGGACUGAGAUGAAAGAGGGCCCCCUGAAUCAGGACCCGCCUGGGCCUUGCAGCCCGCCCCAAUAACGCCUCGUGCCCGGGCCCUGCCUUUCAUCCGAGGACCUCAAAGUCCUUAAAAGCAUUGGCUUGUGAAUCCUCAUGCAGGCCCUGGGAAAUGAAUUCAACUUACAUUUUCAAUGGAUGGAGGAAAGGAAAUACCAAUUUUGUACAAAGUGUAAUCCACAAACAGCAACCCAGUACUUCAGGACGGCCCAGAGAACCUUGGAGGGACUUUCAGAGAAGCUUUUCUUCCUGAACUCUUGGGGAGUGUCUCUCCUUUCUGAAAGCUUUGUUUCUUACAAUGCCAGCCAGCGUCUUUUUGAAAGGCAGCCGCCUCAGGUUAUAAGAUGGAGUGUCUCUCAAACUUCAAUGUGCAGAAAAAUCACCUGGGGAUCUUAUUAAAAUGCAGAAUCUGAUCCAAUAGGUCAGGGUGGGGCCUGAGAGUUUGAUUUCUAAUAAACUCUCAGCUGCUGAUGGUGGUCCAAGGACCACACUUUGAGUAGCAAGGAGGUGGACAAAGAAAGCCACCUGGCGACAACGCCCUUCUUGAAAAAUAACACUUGGAGCCCAGCCAUUCCUUCCCUCAACACCAGCUCUCGGGGAGCUUCAUUAUUCUGAGUUUAAUUAUUGACUCUUUAGGGUCUAAUUUGCGAACCAUGCUAAUGUUAGCGCAUCACAGCACUGGGUGGAAGUGAGAAAGUUGUAGUUGUUUACAGUCUAUACAAACUCGGGAGACGGUGUUACCUCUGAUCGCACUUACCAUCGUUAAUAGGCACGCUCCUGUAAAGAGUCCCACCAGGUAUAAUUGUUUGCUGUGCAACAUUCCAAAGCAAUAGACUGAAAAAAGAACAAAAUUAAUAGGAGGUCACUUGGGG